UUUUUAAAGCAACAACUAGUCCUUUUUCCUCUCAUCAGGUGCACUGCACUGUGUCGGCAACUGCGUUGCUAUGCGACAAGCCCUUCACGCUGGCAACCGUUGCCGUCGGGACCGUCGGGAAGCGUGCAUAUUUUACCAGGGAGGGCAGUCAACGGAGAAAAGUUCAGGCAGUUAAACAAUGGUCGCCACUCGGCAGCCAUACUGGUAACGCCUACAGAAAAAGAGGUCAAACUGCCCAGUCAUACAUGAGGGACAUGUAGGCCACAGACGCCCAACCCCCAGCCCCCCUCCCAAGAUUUAACGGUUGCUAGGAAAUGAAUAAAGGAGUUGCCUGGAUACAGCCCAGUAUCCACAUAGACCGCCUUUAUCUGGUAGUCACGUGGCCCGGCUUAAAUAGCAGCAUUAAGGGCCUGCACUGCAGCUGCCUCUGUGGUGGGAUAGCCAGUGACAAUAAAAAAAAAAUGUCAUCAGGAUGACUGGAUGGGGCGUGACUGAUUCCAUGCACAGGAUGAUGAUGCACAGCAGCACUUCACAUCCAAAGCAGCACUGUUCCUGGAGACUGUGAAUGCAGCUCUGUCGGUGUCUUAAACCUUCAAAUUUCAAUGAAAUGGACCAUAAAUUGGUUUUCAUGGGCCGCCUAACAGGAAGUUAAGCACCUUAGUUGCUAACAACAAAUGAAACUAUGAUGGCAGUUGUCCCAGAGGCAGUAGUGGUACCUCUGUGAAUGAGGGUCUGCUUUUUCUUAAGAUCUAGAUUCAAGAGGUGUGUGUCUACAGUGACAGCAGUUUAAAAACAUUAGAAUUUUAUGUCUUUUCUCAUCUUCCAAAAAAAGAAUCCCAUGAAAACAGUUGUCAACAUUUUUAAAAAUCCAGAUUUUUUUUUUUUUAAACCUUUUAUCAUUCAUAUUUUUAUGCUACAUGGUACAGUCUGGUUAUUGAGUGGCAAGAGGGAUGUGUAAGCAUUUCUAGGCAUACUGGAUUAUAUUACUCAUGUCCUGCAUCUUGGAUAUUUAUUUGCAUUUUAUAGCUUAUUAAAUAUUGUUUGUAGCUUCACAGUAACUGCAGGUACAAACACCCUGUCCCUUGCAUCCUGUCCUGUAACACCAACCCUCUAUUUCAGUGAAUCUUUUCUUUGGUCUUCCCCAUUUCCUUUUGCCUGAGAGCUCAGUCUUCAACAUCCUUUUUCCCAGCGUAUCCUUUUCCCUCCUCUGCACCUGUCAAAACCAUCUCAACCUUGCCUCUCAUACUUGGUCUCCAAAGUGUCCAACCUGAACAGUCCCUCUGAUGCACUUGCUCCUAAUCCUGUCCAUCAUUCCUGAUGAAAAUUUCAGCAUCUUCCGCUCUACUAGCUUCAGCCGCACUUUGUGUCCUUUCAUCAGUGCCAUUACCUCCAACAGCAACAUAGCUGGUCUUAUAAAAAUCUUAUAUCUCAUCCACAUAUUUGGUUUGGCAAAGCCUUCACUUCAGAUGCCCUUCUAGAUGCAACCCUCUCCAUAUAUCCAGGUUGGGGACGGGUGCCAGAGGUUCUUGUGGAUUGUUGCCACACAGUUGCAAACCAUAGAUAGUCUAAAAGACUGACAUAGCUUGUAGGUAUGGAAAGUAAGGCCUGCAUUCUUUUUAAUGGCUACUGAGGGGUGGGGGGGGUACCUGUGACUGCAAAAGCACUUCCAGCGUCAUAAAAGUCAAUGGGGAAAAUGGUCCUCAGUUCGGCAACGUAUUCCUGACUCUUUCUGGGUCAUCAAAGUGCGUAUUCGAUUAAUGUUCCAUUAUUUCAUUCGAUUAAUAAAAUAUUCAGUCAAUAUUUCAAAUUUUGGUUAUUUCAAGUUUCAGAAAGGAGGAUUAUCCAGCAUAUGCUCACUGGCUAGCGACUUAGCAAUCACAAAAAUGGUGCUUCACUGUUCCACCCCGACUCACUUGUUACACCAAAUUUUAAAACACCACAACGGCAACGGCAACACUUCUUAUCUCAAGGCUUCAAAACGGGACUUCACAAACCGGUGGAUGACAUCAUGGUUGAUGCAUACAUCUUUUACACUGUCUAUGAUGCAAACACUGACCUUACCUAAUUUAAAUGAAUGUACUAUCUUAUUUUUUGAACUUCACUUACUUGUAUUGAUAUCUCUACUCGUUGCUCAGAUGCUGAGGAGUAUUACUGUACAUACUUGUUUUAGUCUGUAUUUCUAUUUUGUUUUUCUUAGGAACAUUUCUGUACAGGGACGUAUGAAGGCUAUUAGGACAGUUAAUGUUUACCUUCAAAUCAUUCAUUUAGUCAUGCCGUCAUCAUUAUUUAGGUUACGCUGGGUUUAGACUUUGGUGCUUGUGAAUUUGUGAGUGGUUUCCAGGAUUUGUGUGGCCAGAAGCAGCGUAAAGGGUUAGCUAUUAACUGAAGCUCCUGCAGUGUUUGGUUCAAGGUUGUUGUUUAAAUGGUAAUAAAAUCAUUCUUCCUGUAACUGUGCAGACACAUUAAUGUUUAUCAAACACUUUAACACAGUUUGGCAACCUGUCACAUUACAUUCUUUGCUUUCUAGUGUCUCUUCAGUUUAUUUGGCACACAUUUUUCUUGAUAGAUAUGUUCAGCUAAGCGCUGUUGAUGUCCCUAAUAAUUCAUUCAUAACUGUAAUAAUAUAUGGUUGUCUGACAUUUGCUCUGCUCUAUAUUACAUACAGUAUAUGAUGCCACAGAUUUAAAAUUACCUGUGAGACUGAACGAGCUAUGAAACACUAAGAAUAUAUUUUCAUAAUGUUAUGUGUAUAUGUUUGGCUUCCUCCUUUUCAAUCCCAAAUGGACCUGCACAAACUUGCUAUUUCCAUUUGCUGUAUGCAUGCUUUUACAUUGUAUUUUCAGUCUUUAUUUCUAUUUUCUGUUACCAUGCAGACUUCAAGGAUAUAAUGUUUGAUCAUCUAGAUCUAAAAAUAAACAA